rfam:Trichobilharzia regenti genome assembly, scaffold: TRE_scaffold0014515
AUCCUGAUGACGAGUCCCAAGCAGGACGAAAUGCGCGUUAUUCUGGAU